rnacentral:rRNA from 1 species
GAUGAACGCUGGCGGCGUGCCUAAUACAUGCAAGUCGAGCGAACAGACGAGGAGCUUGCUCCUCUGACGUUAGCGGCGGACGGGUGAGUAACACGUGGAUAACCUACCUAUAAGACUGGGAUAACUUCGGGAAACCGGAGCUAAUACCGGAUAAUAUAUUGAACCGCAUGGUUCAAUAGUGAAAGACGGUUUUGCUGUCACUUAUAGAUGGAUCCGCGCCGCAUUAGCUAGUUGGUAAGGUAACGGCUUACCAAGGCAACGAUGCGUAGCCGACCUGAGAGGGUGAUCGGCCACACUGGAACUGAGACACGGUCCAGACUCCUACGGGAGGCAGCAGUAGGGAAUAUUCCGCAAUGGGCGAAAGCCUGACGGAGCAACGCCGCGUGGAUGAUGAAGGUCUUCGGAUCGUAAAACUCUGUUAUUAGGGAAGAACAAAUGUGUAAGUAACUAUGCACGUCUUGACGGUACCUAAUCAGAAAGCCACGGCUAACUACGUG